rnacentral:rRNA from 1 species
GCUAGCGGCAGGCCUAACACAUGCAAGUCGAGGGGUAACAGGAAAGCUUGCUUUUGCUGACGACCGGCGCACGGGUGCGUAACGCGUAUGCAACCUACCUCAUACUGGAGGAUAGCCCUUGGAAACGAGGAUUAAUACUCCAUAGUAUCACGAAUUCGCAUGUUUUUGUGAUUAAAGUUUUUCGGUAUGAGAUGGGCAUGCGUCCCAUUAGCUAGUUGGUGAGGUAACGGCUCACCAAGGCGACGAUGGGUAGGGGGCCUGAGAGGGUGGUCCCCCACACUGGUACUGAGACACGGACCAGACUCCUACGGGAGGCAGCAGUGAGGAAUAUUGGUCAAUGGAGGCAACUCUGAACCAGCCAUGCCGCGUGAAGGAUGACGGCCCUAUGGGUUGUAAACUUCUUUUAUAUGGGAAGAAACUUAUCUACGUGUAGAUAACUGACGGUACCAUACGAAUAAGGAUCGGCUAACUCCGUGCCAGCAGCCGCGGUAAUACGGAGGAUCCAAGCGUUAUCCGGAUUCAUUGGGUUUAAAGGGUCCGUAG